rnacentral:tRNA from 1 species
GGGGAUUUAGCUCAGUGGCAUAAGCACAUGCCUUGCAAGCAUGCAAUCGUUCGAUCCCCG